rnacentral:rRNA from 1 species
CGUAGGGUGCGAGCGUUAAUCGGAAUUACUGGGCGUAAAGCGUGCGCAGGCGGUUUAGUAAGACAGGCGUGAAAUCCCCGGGCUCAACCUGGGAACUGCGCUUGUGACUGCUAAGCUAGAGUACGGCAGAGGGGGGUGGAAUUCCACGUGUAGCAGUGAAAUGCGUAGAGAUGUGGAGGAACACCAAUGGCGAAGGCAGCCCCCUGGGUCGAUACUGACGCUCAUGCACGAAAGCGUGGGUAGCAAACAGGAUUAGAUACCCUGGUAGUCCACGCCCUAAACGAUGUCAACUAGGUGUUAGGAGGGUAAAACCUUUUAGUACCGGAGCUAACGCGUGAAGUUGACCGCCUGGGGAGUACGGCCGCAAGGUUA